rnacentral:rRNA from 1 species
UACGAAGGGGGCGAGCGUUGUUCGGAAUUACUGGGCGUAAAGGGCGCGCAGGCGGCCUUAGAAGUCAGAUGUGAAAGCCCCGGGCUCAACCUGGGAAUGGCAUUUGAUACUCUGAGGCUGGAGUACGGGAGAGGAGAGUGGAAUUCCCAGUGUAGAGGUGAAAUUCGUAGAUAUUGGGAAGAACACCAGUGGCGAAGGCGGCUCACUGGACCGGCAUUGACGCUGAUGUGCGAAAGCGUGGGGAGCAAACAGG